rnacentral:rRNA from 1 species
GAUGAACGCUGGCGGCGUGCCUAAUACAUGCAAGUCGAGCGAACAGACGAGGAGCUUGCUCCUUUGACGUUAGCGGCGGACGGGUGAGUAACACGUGGGUAACCUACCUAUAAGACUGGGAUAACUUCGGGAAACCGGAGCUAAUACCGGAUAAUAUUUCGAACCGCAUGGUUCGAUAGUGAAAGAUGGCUUUGCUAUCACUUAUAGAUGGACCUGCGCCGUAUUAGCUAGUUGGUAAGGUAACGGCUUACCAAGGCAACGAUACGUAGCCGACCUGAGAGGGUGAUCGGCCACACUGGAACUGAGACACGGUCCAGACUCCUACGGGAGGCAGCAGUAGGGAAUCGUCCGCAAUGGGCGAAAGCCUGACGGAGCAACGCCGCGUGAGUGAUGAAGGUCUUCGGAUCGUAAAACUCUGUUAUGAGGGAAGAACAAACGUGUAAGUAACUGAGCACGUCUUGACGGUACCUAAUCAGAAAGCCACGGCUAACUACGUG